rnacentral:rRNA from 1 species
GUGUGAAGAAGGCCUUCGGGUUGUAAAGCACUUUCAGUCGUGAGGAAGGUGGUGUAGUUAAUAGCUGCAUUAUUUGACGUUAGCGACAGAAGAAGCACCGGCUAACUCCGUGCCAGCAGCCGCGGUAAUACGGAGGGUGCGAGCGUUAAUCGGAAUUACUGGGCGUAAAGCGCAUGCAGGUGGUUUGUUAAGUCAGAUGUGAAAGCCCGGGGCUCAACCUCGGAAUAGCAUUUGAAACUGGCAGACUAGAGUACUGUAGAGGGGGGUAGAAUUUCAGGUGUAGCGGUGAAAUGCGUAGAGAUCUGAAGGAAUACCGGUGGCGAAGGCGGCCCCCUGGACAGAUACUGACACUCAGAUGCGAAAGCGUGGGGAGCAAACAGGAUUAGAUACCCUGGUAGUCCACGCCGUAAACGAUGUCUACUUGGAGGUUGUGGCCUUGAGCCGUGGCUUUCGGAGCUAACGCGUUAAGUAGACCGCCUGGGGAGUACGGUCGCAAGAUUAAAACUCAAAUGAAUUGACGGGGGCCCGCACAAGCGGUGGAGCAUGUGGUUUAAUUCGAUGCAACGCGAAGAACCUUACCUACUCUUGACAUCCAGAGAACUUUCCAGAGAUGGAUUGGUGCCUUCGGGAACUCUGAGACAGGUGCUGCAUGGCUGUCGUCAGCUCGUGUUGUGAAAUGUUGGGUUAAGUCCCGCAACGAGCGCAACCCUUAUCCUUGUUUGCCAGCGAGUAAUGUCGGGAACUCCAGGGAGACUGCCGGUGAUAAACCGGAGGAAGGUGGGGACGACGUCAAGUCAUCAUGGCCCUUACGAGUAGGGCUACACACGUGCUACAAUGGCGCAUACAGAGGGCGGCCAACUUGCGANAGUGAGCGAAUCCCAAAAAGUGCGUCGUAGUCCGGAUUGGAGUCUGCAACUCGACUCCAUGAAGUCGGAAUCGCUAGUAAUCGUGGAUCAGAAUGCCACGGUGAAUACGUUCCCGGGCCUUGUACACACCGCCCGUCACACCAUGGGGAGUGGGCUGCAAAAGAAGUAGGUAGUUUAACCUUCGGGGGGACGCUUACCACUUUGGGGUCAUGAUGGGUGACGUC